rnacentral:rRNA from 1 species
CAUUAUCAUGUAAAUAUCCAGUCAUGCUUCUGCGUGAGCUGUAUAAUUAAACCCACCCUGCGUACGCUGUCCUGUUGCUUCCGCCGGGGGCAUACAUGCGCCCGGCGGAAGGUAAGAAAUAACCUCCGAGUUUUACUACGGGAAUCUGUCUGAAUGAAUGGGAACAAUGAAACGUUAAAACUUUCAGCAACGGAUCUCUUGGUUCUCGCAUCGAUGAAGAACGCAGCGAAAUGCGAUAAGUAGUGUGAAUUGCAGAAUUUAGUGAAUCAUCGAAUCUUUGAACGCACAUUGCGCCUUCCGGCAUUCCGGGAGGCAUGCCUGUUCGAGAGUCAUUGACAACCGUUUCGAUCCCCACUUCCUCCAAUCCGUCCAGGGGUUGUUGGGGGGCAUCGUCGUUGGCGGUGGAGGGUUGAGUUGCCGGGCUUGUUGCCCGCUACGCUUGGCAAAUCUCCUCCCCGCUGAAAUUUGGCGAUGGGCUUUAUGUUCGGUGGCGGGAUUGAAGGGCGAUAUAAAUGCUCCCCGGACCCCCGGGUAGAUUGUGCCAAUCCCCCUCAACUUCCAAAGCUUCACAGGCCACCAAGCCAACGGAGUAGGAAGAACCGAUCGCCCUUGCCGUGUUAGUUAAAAUCAAAGGUUGACCUCGGAUCAGGUAGGGAUACCCGCUGAACUUAAGCAUAUCAAUA